CGGGACACGUGGUAUCCUGUCUGAAUAUGGGGGGACCAUCCUCCAAGGCUAAAUACUCCUGACUGACCGAUAGUGAACCAGUACCGUGAGGGAAAGGCGAAAAGAACCCCGGCGAGGGGAGUGAAAAAGAACCUGAAACCGUGUACGUACAAGCAGUGGGAGCACGCUUAGGCGUGUGACUGCGUACCUUUUGUAUAAUGGGUCAGCGACUUAUAUUCUGUAGCAAGGUUAACCGAAUAGGGGAGCCGAAGGGAAACCGAGUCUUAACUGGGCGUUAAGUUGCAGGGUAUAGACCCGAAACCCGGUGAUCUAGCCAUGGGCAGGUUGAAGGUUGGGUAACACUAACUGGAGGACCGAACCGACUAAUGUUGAAAAAUUAGCGGAUGACUUGUGGCUGGGGGUGAAAGGCCAAUCAAACCGGGAGAUAGCUGGUUCUCCCCGAAAGCUAUUUAGGUAGCGCCUCGUGAAUUCAUCUCCGGGGGUAGAGCACUGUUUCGGCAAGGGGGUCAUCCCGACUUACCAACCCGAUGCAAACUGCGAAUACCGGAGAAUGUUAUCACGGGAGACACACGGCGGGUGCUAACGUCCGUCGUGAAGAGGGAAACAACCCAGACCGCCAGCUAAGGUCCCAAAGUCAUGGUUAAGUGGGAAACGAUGUGGGAAGGCCCAGACAGCCAGGAUGUUGGCUUAGAAGCAGCCAUCAUUUAAAGAAAGCGUAAUAGCUCACUGGUCGAGUCGGCCUGCGCGGAAGAUGUAACGGGGCUAAACCAUGCACCGAAGCUGCGGCAGCGACGCUGAUGCGUUGUUGGGUAGGGGAGCGUUCUGUAAGCCUGUGAAGGUGUGCUGUGAGGCAUGCUGGAGGUAUCAGAAGUGCGAAUGCUGACAUAAGUAACGAUAAAGCGGGUGAAAAGCCCGCUCGCCGGAAGACCAAGGGUUCCUGUCCAACGUUAAUCGGGGCAGGGUGAGUCGACCCCUAAGGCGAGGCCGAAAGGCGUAGUCGAUGGGAAACAGGUUAAUAUUCCUGUACUUGGUGUUACUGCGAAGGGGGGACGGAGAAGGCUAUGUUGGCCGGGCGACGGUUGUCCCGGUUUAAGCGUGUAGGCUGGUUUUCCAGGCAAAUCCGGAAAAUCAAGGCUGAGGCGUGAUGACGAGGCACUACGGUGCUGAAGCAACAAAUGCCCUGCUUCCAGGAAAAGCCUCUAAGCAUCAGGUAACAUCAAAUCGUACCCCAAACCGACACAGGUGGUCAGGUAGAGAAUACCAAGGCGCUUGAGAGAACUCGGGUGAAGGAACUAGGCAAAAUGGUGCCGUAACUUCGGGAGAAGGCACGCUGAUAUGUAGGUGAAGCGACUUGCUCGUGGAGCUGAAAUCAGUCGAAGAUACCAGCUGGCUGCAACUGUUUAUUAAAAACACAGCACUGUGCAAACACGAAAGUGGACGUAUACGGUGUGACGCCUGCCCGGUGCCGGAAGGUUAAUUGAUGGGGUCAGCGCAAGCGAAGCUCUUGAUCGAAGCCCCGGUAAACGGCGGCCGUAACUAUAACGGUCCUAAGGUAGCGAAAUUCCUUGUCGGGUAAGUUCCGACCUGCACGAAUGGCGUAAUGAUGGCCAGGCUGUCUCCACCCGAGACUCAGUGAAAUUGAACUCGCUGUGAAGAUGCAGUGUACCCGCGGCAAGACGGAAAGACCCCGUGAACCUUUACUAUAGCUUGACACUGAACAUUGAGCCUUGAUGUGUAGGAUAGGUGGGAGGCUUUGAAGUGUGGACGCCAGUCUGCAUGGAGCCGGCCUUGAAAUACCACCCUUUAAUGUUUGAUGUUCUAACGUUGACCCGUGAUCCGGGUUGCGGACAGUGUCUGGUGGGUAGUUUGACUGGGGCGGUCUCCUCCUAAAGAGUAACGGAGGAGCACGAAGGUUGGCUAAUCCUGGUCGGACAUCAGGAGGUUAGUGCAAUGGCAUAAGCCAGCUUGACUGCGAGCGUGACGGCGCGAGCAGGUGCGAAAGCAGGUCAUAGUGAUCCGGUGGUUCUGAAUGGAAGGGCCAUCGCUCAACGGAUAAAAGGUACUCCGGGGAUAACAGGCUGAUACCGCCCAAGAGUUCAUAUCGACGGCGGUGUUUGGCACCUCGAUGUCGGCUCAUCACAUCCUGGGGCUGAAGUAGGUCCCAAGGGUAUGGCUGUUCGCCAUUUAAAGUGGUACGCGAGCUGGGUUUAGAACGUCGUGAGACAGUUCGGUCCCUAUCUGCCGUGGGCGCUGGAGAACUGAGGGGGGCUGCUCCUAGUACGAGAGGACCGGAGUGGA
rnacentral:rRNA from 1 species